AGCACAGCUGGGUAGCUAAGUCGGGAAUGGAUAAACGCUGAAAGCAUCUAAGCGUGAAGCCAACCUCAAGAUGAGAUUUCCCAUAGCGUAAGCUAGUAAGAUCCCUUGAAGAACACAAGGUUGAUAGGUCGGGGGUGUAAGCAUGGUAACAUGUUCAGCUGACCGAUACUAAUAGAUCGAGGGCUUGACCAAAUA
rnacentral:rRNA from 1 species